UGGGGAAUCUUGGACAAUGGGCGCAAGCCUGAUCCAGCCAUGCCGCGUGAGUGAAGAAGGCCUUCGGGUUGUAAAGCUCUUUUACCAGGGACGAUAAUGACGGUACCUGGAGAAUAAGCCCCGGCAAACUUCGUGCCAGCAGCCGCGGUAAUACGAAGGGGGCUAGCGUUGUUCGGAAUUACUGGGCGUAAAGCGCACGUAGGCGGAUUGUUAAGUCAGAGGUGAAAUCCCGGAGCUCAACUUCGGAACUGCCUUUGAUACUGGCAAUCUAGAGUCCGGAAGAGGUUAGUGGAAUUCCCAGUGUAGAGGUGAAAUUCGUAGAUAUUGGGAAGAACACCAGUGGCGAAGGCGGCUAACUGGUCCGGUACUGACGCUGAGGUGCAAAAGCGUGGGGAGCAAACAGGAUUAGAUACCCUUGUAGUCCCUGAG
rnacentral:rRNA from 1 species